rnacentral:rRNA from 1 species
GUGGGGAAUCUUGUGCAAUGGGCGAAAGCCUGACGCAGCCAUGCCGCGUGAAUGAUGAAGGUCUUAGGAUUGUAAAAUUCUUUCACCGGGGACGAUAAUGACGGUACCCGGAGAAGAAGCUCCGGCUAACUUCGUGCCAGCAGCCGCGGUAAUACGAAGGGGGCUAGCGUUGCUCGGAAUUACUGGGCGUAAAGGGCGCGUAGGCGGACAGUUUAGUCAGAGGUGAAAGCCCAGGGCUCAACCUUGGAAUUGCCUUUGAUACUGGCUGUCUUGAGUACGGGAGAGGUGAGUGGAACUCCGAGUGUAGAGGUGAAAUUCGUAGAUAUUCGGAAGAACACCAGUGGCGAAGGCGACUCACUGGCCCGUUACUGACGCUGAGGCGCGAAAGCGUGGGGAGCAAACAGGAUUAGAUACCCCUGUAGUCC